GAAAAUCGAUUUCUAAAUUUUUUAUGAGCAUUUCUUUUGUUUCAAUUGUUAUACACGCCCCAAAUAGCCCUUUGCAACUUGAAGUUGAUAGUUGUAAAGAAAAAUUCGAGGCGAAGUUAUUCAGAUUUGCACUUUCCAGGGAUAUCAAGCAAUCUCUUUAUUGAUACUUUUGCAGCUACAGAAUGAUUUAUGGGUGAAGGAUGUUCUAGUUCCUGCAAUAAUGGUGAAUUUUCAAAUUAUUGCAAGAUUUCAUGCUUCGAGCUUCGGUAACAUGGCAAGACAGAUAAUAAAGUAGAUAAAACAUUUUGAUUACAAACUGGGUUCCUCUAAACUGACAUGCUUUAGAUUUCCUAUUGCAUAUGUUGAACACAUUUUGCUUUCCUUGCAUUUUUCAUAGCUUGUUUGGAAUGUCGCAGGUUAUCGUACUCUAUUUAUAAUUUACAUGACAAUUUUGUUUUCUCAA